rnacentral:rRNA from 1 species
CCUACGGGGGGCAGCAGUGAGGAAUAUUGGUCAAUGGUCGGGAGACUGAACCAGCCAAGCCGCGUGAGGGAUGAAGGUACAGAGUAUCGUAAACCUCUUUUGUCAGGGAACAAAGGCGGGGACGUGUCCCCGGAUGAGUGUACCUGAAGAAAAAGCAUCGGCUAACUCCGUUCCAGCAGCCGCGGUAAUACGGAGGAUGCGAGCGUUAUCCGGAUUUAUUGGGUUUAAGGGGUGCGCAGGCGGUCUGUUAAGUCAGCGGUCAAAGCCCGGGGCACAACCCCGGCCCGCCGUUGAAACUGGCAGUCGCGAGUUGGAGAGAAGUAUGCGGAAUGCGCGGUGUAGCGGUGAAAUGCAGAGAUAUCGCGCAGAACUCCGAUUGCGAAGGCAGCAUGCCGGCUCCACACUGACGCUGAGGCACGAAAGCGUGGGUAUCGAACAGGAUUAGAUACCCGGGUAGUC